GCUCUGAGAAGCCAAGAACAUCCUGAAGGAAGGGCAUGGGGGUGGGGAGGAGCCCCUCCCCGGCCCGGUCUGCACCCCUGCCACCGCCUCGCACCAGGGGGAGUGAUGUCACUGACCUGCCCUCCAAUGCCCUUGAAGGAGCAGCUGCUCUGGUGGUUUCUCCCAGGCUCUGAUGGGCAGAACCAUGGGAGGGGUCGUUUUUUGUACAAAGCUGUAACAUUGUGGGGACAGGGGGGGCCACGGUGAUUCAACUCUACGGGAAAGCUUUACAAAAACCUUUCUGCCUUUCCCAACCCACAGUCUCUCCACUUUUGUCCUGGGUCACCGGCCCGAGGGUGGUUCAGGUCAGAACGCCUCCGCCUCACCCCUGUUCACCUGUCGAGCCAAGACCAUGGAUAAGGACAGGCUUGGAUGGGGACUGAAUCUUCCAGGCAGAGAGCCCAGAUGCGAGAAGAAUGUCUCAGUGGCCCCUCGGGUGAAGGACUCAGGGAGACUCCUUCACCCCAAGCCCCACAGAACCCGGGGCAAGGUCAGUGGGAAGGUGCAUGGGAGGUGACCCAUUCCACAGAGGAAGAAGCCAGAGAUAUCUCCGCUCUCCGUGGAUAUGGUCACUGGCUCUAGGACCCUGCCUUUCUCUCCAGAUCCACGUCCUUUUAAUGGACCCUCAGAAAAAAAUCAAGAAAGUAGUGUGGGACCCUCUGGAUACACUCUGGCCAUGCUCUGUGGCCCCAGGAGUCAGAGUUGAAAAUGUUCUAUGCAAUAUCGGUAAAACACAGGUGGGGAUUUCUGACCCCAGCAUCCUCAGACACCAACUACAGCCCCGUUUCUUUCCACGCCUCAAAUUUGUUUGCCUCCUGGCCUGGAGUCACUGUGUGAACACUGAAGUUUUCUUUGGAGCAGGCACCAGGCUCACAGUUAUAGGUAAGCUAUACUCUGGGUCUUUCCAAGCCCCUCAUAGGGGAAGCAGGUCCAAAAUGGCAGGUCCAUUUUAGAGUGGCCAUAUUCUGAUGUGCUAUGAUUAUACCUUCGGCCCAGGGACCAAGCUGACAGUCGUCGCUGAGCUCAGCAGACAAGGGGAGGUUCUGAAGCAGAUCUAAGAGGCUGUGCUAUGGAGAGACCCUCUAUUUUGGGGAAGGGAGCCGGCUCACUGUUGUAGGUAAGCUCGUCGAGGCUGGAGGGCUGGGAACCUACAAGGAGGGGCAGGGCUCCAGAUGGAGCCUCCGUUCUGGGGGCUUAGCUUAAAGCACAUUUUUAUCAGAAAGAUCUGAAUUCUUGCCUUGAGGCGAUCGGGAGGGGACGGCCUCCAUCCCUGGUAAUUUCACAGACUGGCCAUGCCAAGUCUGGGUUCCCGUGCUGGGAGGCAAGUAGUCUCGUCUUGGGGUCACCGUGUCCAUCUCCCGUCUCCUUGGAGCACACCCCAUCACGGCCACGGUAGAUGGGAAGCCUCUAGCCUUAGAGCUAGCUUCGUCCUGCUGUUUUCCCCCCUCGUCCAGAAAAGAGAAGGACACGGGAGAAAGGGGUGGGGGUCACAUGGCCACAUUGGUCCCCUGACAUUUCAGGCUGUAUGUGUACCCCCCUCCCCCUCCCAGUGCCAAAAUUCUGCUACGGAAAGGGAGAAGAGAGCGGGCAGGUACACUUGGGAAGGGCAGGAAUUGCAUGCAGGUGGGCAGUUUUCCUACCAGCCUGCAGUGUUGUGCAACAAUGACAAUUUUUUGCAAGUGGAGCCAAGCUCUCUGUCUUGGGGAAGCAAGCGGCCUCCCUGGGGGGUAGUGUGUUGGAAAAGUACAGUCCCAGGAGGACUCCGGAGACAGGGUGGGGACGGGGGCACAGCGGGAAAAGGCGCAGAGAGUGUGGGGAACAGAGUAGGUGCUAGAGCCCCCAGAAGUUUGGGUGGAUGCUAGCUUCUGGAAGGAAAGGCCCCAGAGCAGCAAUUCUGGGUUUGUCACACUCUUGCUGUGCUGUGGAGCAACCAGGCACAGUACUUUGGAGAUAGGACUCAGCUCUGUCUCAGGUAAGGAGCAGGACCAGGGUGGGAGAGCUGUGGUCCCUGGGACCCGGGGCCCCAUCUCUCCCCACGGCUGGUUGUCAGGGGUCAGGUAAACUCUCAUAUCCUGGGGACCUUCUCCGGAGAGCUGUGGCUGCCAUUGCUCUUGGUGUGGCUCACCUGGACCCUCUAUUUGUCCUCCCUGGCUCUUCAGUCCUUGAUGUGACCUCCUCGCUCUUUCCUCGGUUCAUCCUUCCUUCUCAUGUGUGUGCCUCUUCCCACUCUGAGCCUUCUCCUCUUUCCCCAUCAUAUGCCUGGACCUUUCUCCAGGUCCAGAGCCACGCACCCAGGCAGAGAAGGUGGCAGAGCCCGUUCCCUGGGAGCUAGGACCUGCCCUCUGGCAGGAGACCCCCGCCCCAGGUUUUACCACAGCUCCCUGCAGCUGUGCUCCUAUAACUUACCCCUCCACUUUGGGAUGGGCACCAGGCUCACCGUGACAGGUUGGGGGCCACACUCCGGGCGGGGGAGGGGGGGGUGCCCAUGCGUGACCCAUCAGUCCAGGAAGGAGACGAGGGUGACGGACAGAAGUCCGAGCCGCCCCCUCCCUCUGGGAGUUUCUCUGGCUGCUCUGCUGUGCUUGUCUCAGACCCUCGGGGGUAGACUUGGUCUUGGGGGCUUUGUGUUUUCUUGCUGUUUUCUCAUUCUCCGGUCCGCCUUCUUUCACUCUCUUCUUUUUCAGGGGUGUGUUGUUUUACUUUCCCUUCUCUAUCUGAGUCAGAUCUUCUCCAUUUUCCCUCCUGAGCUAACUCCAGUCCUUCAUGGUUGACUCCAUUUGGGUGAAUGGGUCUGUUUUCUAUGUUAAAAUCCUUCUAACACCGUCCACCUGCUCAGAACUCCACCCUUGCCUUCCCUGUCCUCCUUCUCCGUCUCCACCAGUCUCCAAAGACCCAUGUGUGUCUUCCUGAAGGGAUCUAGGGCUUUGGAGGCACAGGGGGUGGGGUAUAGACUGGCGAGGCUGGGGUUUAAGGGACAUUUCUGAGCCCUGGGAACAGAAGGCGCGUCACAGUGUCAUGAAAGCUGCAAGGGGUGUCUGAGGGACAUAGUUCUUGGCAGGAUCCGAGAAGAUAGAUGUGAAUAAACUUUCUGAUACAACUGGAAACUUAGGCCACCUUAGUAACAGAUAAGGUACAAAGAAAAGAAAAGAGGCUGAGGCCCCAUUUUCCAAACCUCAGGACCUGUGCUGGGAUGGUAGGGUAAGGGGCCCAUCACAAAACGCUAACACACCAUUGGCAUGCUCCGGAGGAGGGGGGCAGGCGGAGGGGAGGGUAGGGAUGGGAUGAGUCUGGGCUGGGAACAGAGACAAGGCGGGAAGAACGGGAGAGUUGGUCCUACCAGAUUGGUUGGCUCGAGCAGACUCUGUCCUGCAGAGA